CGAACGGGUGAGUAACACGUGAGUAAUCCACCCUCGGCAUCCGAAUAGCCCGGGGAAACCCGGAUUAAUGCGGAAUAGCCCAUCUGCCCUUCGGGGCGGCUGGAAAAGGUAGCUUCGGCCUCCAGCCGGGGACGAGCUCGCGGCGGAUUAGCUUGUUGGCGGGGUAAAAGCCCACCAAGGCGACGAUCCGUAGCUGGUCUGAGAGGACGAUCAGCCACACUGGGACUGAGACACGGCCCAG
rnacentral:rRNA from 1 species